rnacentral:lncRNA from 1 species
AUCCUAAUCUUCUUUGUAUGUUUAAUAUUAAUACUUUUAACUUUGCUAUUGAAGCAAUCCUUCAACAAGACUUUGGUAGGGACCUUCAAUCAAUGGUGUAUAAAUCAUGUUGUCAUAAUAUGUGAAGGCUUGCUUGAGAAUGCUUCGGACACCUGGCUGUCAAAGGUAGAAUGGAAAUUAUAGCAACAAAAUCCUAACUAUAAUAGAAUACUAACUAAACUCUAAUUAGAUCAUAAUAAUACUAAGUAAACUUUAAUCAAAUUCAAAGAAACCUCAAAGAAAUUUCAAAGAAACAAUAAGAAAUCUUAAAGAAAUAUAAGAAUGAUCACAAAUAUAUCUCAAAUACAUCUCAAUUCAAUCUUCAUUAAAAUCCUAUUAGACUUCAUUCAAACUUUAGGCCAAAACUAACUAAAUCUAAAAUCCUAAAUAAAUCCUAAUAAAAUCCUAAAUCCUAAAUCAAACCCUAAAAAAAUCCUAAACCAAACUUCAACCAAAUCCUAAACCAAAUCCUAACCAAACCUUAAACCCUAAAUCCUAAACCAAACCCUAAAUCCUAAAUCAAAUUCUAAACAAAUCCUAAACCAAAUCCUAAUCAAAUCCUAAACCAAAUCCUAAUUAAACCCUAAAUCAAAUCUUAAAUCCUAAAUCAAAUCCUAACCAAACUCUAAACCCUAAACCAAAUCCUAACCAAAUCCUAAAUCAAAUCCUAAUCAAACUCUAAAUCCUAGUAAUUUCCAUAUCAAAUUCAAACCUCAAUAACUAAUCAAUGAACCGUUGA